CUUACGGGCUUGGAACGUCAUGAGGGUGAGUCAUUAAUAACAUAAUUUUCAUUUUUGGGUGAACUAACCCUUUAAUAGACAUAUUGUGAUUGUGUAAGGUUCCUGUUUUUUUUUCUUUUUUUCUUGUAGGCGAUGGAAGAUAACCAUGCCCCAGACUAACUUGCCGCUUGCCGGUUGCAAUCUACUCCAAUCCUCCCCAGGCCAGCACCCAAAUCCUCCACUUACCGCUAGAGCCCAAGCCCACAAAAAUCACUUUGCUUGAGUAGGACUUACAAUAAGGCGAUGGAAGAUAACCAUGCCCCAGACUAACUUGCCGCUUGCCGGUUGCAAUCUACUCCAAUCCUCCCCAGGCCAGCACCCAAAUCCUCCACUUACCGCUAGAGCCCAAGCCCACAAAAAUCACUUUGCUUGAGUAGGACUUUGUUUAAUUUAGCUUUGUUUCCAGUUCAGUUUCAUGUGUUAAUUUAUCUGUUGACAUGGUUUUAAAUUUCCCCUCAUGGCUCUGGUUAAUCAUUCCAUUUAGCUCCAGUGUUAUUGCCCAUUUUUAGUUGUUCUUUCUCUAUGAUUGCUAUUGUAUAGUGGUUGUUCCGUUCAAGUUUUUUUGAUUUGUUAUUUAAUAAUGCUGCACAUAGAUUCUGCUACUUUUUUCAUUCCAACUUCCAACGCUUUUUACACUUUUAUUCAGAAAGGGGGCAUUUAA